rnacentral:rRNA from 1 species
UACGAAGGGGGCUAGCGUUGCUCGGAAUCACUGGGCGUAAAGCGCACGUAGGCGGACUCUUGAGUCGGUGGUGAAAUCCUGGAGCUCAACUCCAGAACUGCCUUCGAUACUGAGAGUCUCGAGUCCGGGAGAGGUGAGUGGAACUGCGAGUGUAGAGGUGAAAUUCGUAGAUAUUCGCAAGAACACCAGUGGCGAAGGCGGCUCACUGGCCCGGUACUGACGCUGAGGUGCGAAAGCGUGGGGAGCAAACGGG